AUCAUUCUGACCCAAUCCAAACUGUACUGUACUGGCUCUGACUUAGUGUUCUUUUCACCUAGUUCCUCUUCCAGCACCUAUGAUGUAUGGGUUCAGAUGGGUUCUCAGAUCAGCAGGGUUCAGAUGGGUUCUCAGAUCAGCAGGGUUCAGAUGGGUUCUCAGAUCAGCAGGGUUCAGAUGGGUUCUCAGAUCAGCAGGGUUCAGAUGGGUUCUCAGAUCAGCAGGGUUCAGAUGGGUUCUCAGAUCAGCAGGGUUCAGAUGGGUUCUCAGAUCAGCAGGGUUCAGAUGGGUUCUCAGAUCAGCAGGGUUCAGAUGGGUUCUCAGAUCAGCAGGGUUCAGAUGGGUUCUCAGAUCAGCAGGGUUUGACUAGGUUCUCAGAUCAGCAGGGUUUGACUGGGCUGAGGUUCAGUAGUGUGAAAAUGGUAAUUCCCUUAGCCUCUCUGCAUGUAGCCACUUAAAGUCUCAAUCAAGGUCAAAGAUCAGAUCCCGAAACAGUCAGUAUAUACAGUGCCCUUUCUAAUCAUUGGAACAGUGAAGCAUUUGUCUUAUUUUGGCUUUAUACUGUAUACUUGAAAUCACAUGUAUACUUGAAAAAACAAUGGCAUUAAAGUGCAGACUGUCAGCUUUAAUUUGAGGGCAUUUUCAUCCAUAUCAGCUGAACCGUUAAGAAAUUACAGCACUUUAUGUACAUAGUCCCCCCAUUUUAGGGGAGCAAAACUAUUGGGACAAAUUCACUUGAGUAUGAAAGUGGUGAAAAGUUCAUGUAUUUGGUCCCAUAUUCAUAGCAUGCAAUGAUUACAUAAAGCCUGUGACUCAACAAACUUGUUGGAUGCAUUUGCUGUUUGUUUUGGUUGUGUUUCAGAUUAUUUUGAGCCCAAUAGAAAUUAAAUGGUAAAUAAUGUAUUGUGUCAAUUUGGAGUCGCUUUUAUUAUUAAUAAGAAUAGAAUAUGUUUCUAAACACUUCUACAUUAAUGUGGAUGCUACCAUGAUUACGGAUAAUCCUAAAUUAAUCGUGAAUAAUGAAUGAGAAUGACAUGCUAACCUCUCACCAUUUCAAUAAAGGGAGGUUAGCAUUUUUGGGUGGUAUAUGACAGGGUCUAACGUUCUCUUAAUCUUAAAACACAACCAAAAUAAUGAGCAAAUACAUACCAAAAAUGUGUAUGGUCACAAGCUUGACGUAGUCAUUGCAUGCUAGGAAUAUGGGAGCAAAUACUACACUUUUUACUACUUUAAUACAUAAGUGAAUUUGUCCCAAUACUUUUUUGUUAGCUCUAUGCAGUAAAGCCGAGACAUUAGAUUGGGGACGGGAAGCGAACACAGGUUUUAAGGUCUCGUUUCUCGGGUUGAUUGUUGUUUUAUAUCUCUUGAUCCACAGCGGCCAAACGAAAUGUUUCCAGAUUACAUAAUGCUUGUUGUGUUAAGACACAGGACCAGGUUACAUAAUGCUUGAUGUGUUAAGACAGGACCAGGUUACAUAAUGCUUGAUGUGUUAAGACAGGACCAGGUUACAUAAUGCUUGAUGUGUUAAGACAGGACCAGGUUACAUAAUGCUUGAUGUGUUAAGACAGGACCAGGUUACAUAAUGCUUGAUGUGUUAAGACAGGACCAGGUUACAUAAUGCUUGAUGUGUUAAGACAGGACCAGGUUACAUAAUGCUUGAUGUGUUAAGACAGGACCAGGUUACAUAAUGCUUGAUGUGUUAAGACAGGACCAGGUUACAUAAUGCUUGAUGUGUUAAGACAGGACCAGGUUACAUAAUGCUUGAUGUGUUAAGACAGGACCAGGUUACAUAAUGCUUGAUGUGUUAAGACAGGACCAGGUUACAUAAUGCUUGAUGUGUUAAGACAGGACCAGGUUACAUAAUGCUUGAUGUGUUAAGACAGGAUCAGGUUACAUAAUGCUUGAUGUGUUAAGACACAGGACCAGGUUACAUAAUGCUUGUUGUGUUAAGACAGGACCAGGUUACAUAAUGCUUGUUGUGUUAAGACACAGGAUCAGGUUACAUAAUGCUUGAUGUGUUAAGAUACAGGACCAGGUUACAUAAUGCUUGUUGUGUUAAGACACAGGACCAGGUUACAUAAUGCUUGUUGUGUUAAGACACAGGACCAGGUUACAUAAUGCUUGAUGUGUUAAGACAGGACCAGGUUACAUAAUGCUUGAUGUGUUAAGACACAGGACCAGGUUACAUAAUGCUUGUUGUGUUAAGACACAGGAUCAGGUUACAUAAUGCUUGAUGUGUUAAGACACAGGACCAGGUUACAUAAUGCUUGUUGUGUUAAGACACAGGACCAGGUUACAUAAUGCUUGUUGUGUUAAGACACAGGAUCAGGUUACAUAAUGCUUGAUGUGUUAAGACACAGGACCAGGUUACAUAAUGCUUGUUGUGUUAAGACACAGGAUCAGGUUACAUAAUGCUUGAUGUGUUAAGACACAGGACCAGGUUACAUAAUGCUUGUUGUGUUAAGACACAGGACCAGGUUACAUAAUGCUUGUUGUGUUAAGACACAGGAUCAGGUUACAUAAUGCUUGAUGUGUUAAGACACAGGACCAGGUUACAUAAUGCUUGUUGUGUUAAGACACAGGAUCAGGUUACAUAAUGCUUGAUGUGUUAAGACACAGGACCAGGUUACAUAAUGUUUGUUGU